rnacentral:rRNA from 1 species
UACGUAGGGUGCAAGCGUUGUCCGGAAUUAUUGGGCGUAAAGAGCUCGUAGGCGGCUUGUCGCGUCGGCUGUGAAAACCUGGGGCUCAACCCCGGGCCUGCAGCCGAUACGGGCAAGCUAGAAUUCGGUAGGGGAGACUGGAAUUCCUGGUGUAGCGGCGAAAUGCGCAGAUAUCAGGAGGAACACCGGUGGCGAAGGCGGUUCUCUGGGCCAUUACUGACGCUGAGGAGCGAAAGCGUGGGGAGCGAACAGG